rnacentral:rRNA from 1 species
CCUACGGGAGGCAGCAGUGAGGAAUAUUGGUCAAUGGGCGUAAGCCUGAACCAGCCAAGUCGCGUGAGGGAUGAAGGUUCUAUGGAUCGUAAACCUCUUUUAUAAGGGAGUAAAUUGCGGGCCGUGUCCCGUUUUGUAUGUACCUUAUGAAUAAGGAUCGGCUAACUCCGUGCCAGCAGCCGCUGUAAUACGGAGGGUCCGAGCGUUAUCCGGAUUUAGUGGGUUUAAAGGGUGCGUAGGCGGCUUGUUAAGUCAGCGGGGAAAGUCGGUGGUUCAACCAUAGAAUUGCCGGUGAAACUGGGGGGCUUGAGUAUGUGUGAGGCAGGCGGAAUGCGUGGUGUAGCGGUGAAAUGCAUAGAUAUCACGCAGAACCCCGAUGGCGAAGGCAGCCUACCAAGCCAUAACUGACGCUGAUGCACGAAAGCGUGGGGAUCAAACAGGAUUAGAUACCCGAGUAGUC